GCCUAUAUCUUUUGGUAAACUUCCACUGAUUAAAUUAUCUGCCACGCUAAGAUCUAUUAAAGAUGUUAAAUUGUAUAAGGAUGGAGGGAUCGUACCAUAGAGAUGGUUAGCACCAAAAUACAUUAUUUGCAAGUUGUACAGUUAACCUAAAGUGUGUGGAAUGCUUCCGCUUAGAUUAUUGUUGGUGGCUGAUAAGGCUGUAAGAGAAGUGAAGUUUCCAAAGAAAGAUGGUAUCCCUCCUGUAAAACCAUUAUUAUGAAUGGCUAACACCGUCAGGUUCACCAGUGUACUAAGCUGUUGUGGAAGCCUGCCAACUAGAUUAUUGAAACUCAACCAAAGAGCAUUUAGCUCUGUACAGUUUGAUAAACUGGCUGGAACUUUUCCUUCAAAAGAAUUGCUGUCGAGAAAUAGUAGCUUCAACCUAAACAAAUUUCCUAAUUGAAGUGGGAUUACACCUUUGAAGGUGUUAUUCCGUAGCCUUAUCACUCUAAGAAAGCUUAAGUUUCCAAUAUGAGGGGAGAGUGAACCGGCAAAGCCUUGAGAUCCAAGGUCUAACAUGGUGACUCUAGGAUGCCGAUGACCACAUGUAACACCUUGCCAUUGACAGAAAUGGAAGGAGGUGUUCCAUGAGUCAAGAACAUGUUGGGGGUCAUGAAUGAUGCUCGAUUUGAUGGCCAGAAGUGCAAGAUGAUCGGUAUGGUUUGUGGCCAGUGAAAGUGUUGGAGACCAUAACAGCAAUGCCACUACAUACAAGAACAGAGAAAGGGUUCAUUGGGAGAGAGAACGAAAGCUUAGCUAGACAUUGUCACCUUCAAAUCAAUAAUGCUUGAUGGAGUAAAUCUUUGUUGCAAUAGAAUGAUCUAUCUGAUGAUGAUGCUGAUAUAUUGCUGUUGUCGCUCCUGUUCGUUGACUCCCUGAGAAUAUGUCUACUGAAAAAUAUGUCCCUGCCCAAAAGAUAUAUCCCCCAAUUUUUGGAAAUAAAAUGCAGUGGACUCCUUCCAGCAUGGAUUAUAUACAUUAUUUCAAGAUUUUCACCUGUACUUACCCAUUGGAUGAAGUAAAUAGCCUCAUUUAUAAGACUAUUAGCAGCUGGUUCUCCUAGUUUUGCCUUGAUCACCUUUGUUGUUUCAAGUAAAUUGUUCGUCGAAAAACAUUUGAAUCUGUUUGCCAGCAAAUGAGCUUUAGAAAUGUAUGGCUAUUUCUGAGAGACAUUCGCAGUGGCCGACUAAGAUCUUUCGCCUUUCGCCGGGCUUGAGAGAUUGUUCUGUUUUUAUCCUUCAUUGGAUGUUUGAGGCAUUUUUUGUUAUUGUUCAUGUUUGUCAUAUUAUUAUUAACUUCAUUAGUGUGCUUUAGAAAUGUAAAUUAAAUAAAUAGUGUUUAAAGUAGUGUUUACAUAUC